UAAAUCAAUAUCGCUCGAUUGGUGUGCAUAGUAACUAUUCGAUAAAUUGUUGCAAUCACUUUGAUUGCAACUGAGUAAAAUUCCGCACAUUUAAUUUGAGUGAAAUUGAAACUUGGUAUGGAGUGCACACCAAGUGUUCGAUAAAAUUAAUCUCACACAAACUUAGUAAUAUUUUACUGGAUCUCUUAUUGUGUUAAGCAUUAUUAGAGGUAACGAUAUCAAGGAUCAUAGUGGAUAAUCGAUUGAUUUAGAUAGCGGUUGAUAAUCUCUAUCUUAAGUAAUUCCAUUCGGUUUCACGCGUAUCCGAUCUUUCCAAUUAACGGAUCAUUUAGACGAUCACAAUCUAGGGUGCUUCCGCAACCGUUGAAAACAUUUUUAAAAAAUGCUAAAUUUCAAAACUGAUCUAUUCAACCCCCCUUCUAGAUCGGUACUAUCGUCUAACAUUAUCUUCCCUUUUUGAUCACCUUCGAAACCCAUGAAGCCAUCUGGCUUAAGUUCCAAAUCUUGGAACAUAUGCCUUCUUCUCGUCAUUGGCCGUGAGCACCUAGAGUCCAAGUGUUAUGAUUGGUGUUUCAAUUGAGCUGCUAAGGAUGUCUGCACCAUAUACUAUCUUGUUCUUAGAUAUCCAUAUUUUUUGGGUCCUCUCUGAUUAUUUCUCUCAGGGUUUUUAGAGAACUUAGGUCUUUGUGUAAAAUAAUCAUUUUGAGUAUAAGCAUAAUAGAAAUGGGAAUGCAGAGCUUUUGGUUGUGCCUUAGGUUUUGAAAUAGGUUUUUCUUUAGACACAUAGCCAAUUUCUUUUCUUCCAUUUGUGGUAACUCCAUAAAUCAUUGAAGCCAUCUUGCUUCUAUCUAUGUUUCUAGUAAAAAAUGUCUAAAAAGAUUUGAAAUAUUUCUUUAUGACAUUUUUAGAAUCCACAUAAGCUUUUGAAAGAAUUUCUUCCUCAAGUUUAGAACUUUUACUUUGAAGUGAAGAGUUUUCAUUUUUCAGAAUAAAAUUCUCUUCAUUCAAAGUGAAAAAAAUCUUUCUUAAUCUUACUAUAUGGUUCAGAUUAAGAUACUUGGACUUAUUUCAGAUCCUUGUAUUUGUUCUGAAGCUUUUGAUAUUUCUCCAGAAUUUCAGAAAGACAAGAUUCUAAUUCAGAGCGAGAUAAGUUAGGAAAUACCUCCUUAGAGUUUGACUCUUAUUCUGAUUCUGAUUCUGGUUGGAUAUUUUCAUCAGAUGAUUAUGUGCUUGCCAUUAACACUGCAUUAGCUUGCUCUUCCUCAGAGUCAUCUUCUAAGGAUUCAUAGCCAUCCCAGCUAGCCAUCAAACUUUUCUUCUUUCCUCUGAAGUCUUUCUUCUAUGGUCUAUCUUUCAUUAGCUUGGGACACUCAUUCUUGUAGUGACCUGGCUCCUUCUACUCAAAACAGAUAACGUCUUUGCCAAAACCUGAAUUCUUCAGUAUAGAUAUAGGCUCAAAGCGACCACCUAUCCUUUUGGAGCCUCUGAACUUGCUUUGUCUUUUCUUCCAGAGUUGAUUAACUCUCCUAGAAAGAAGAGAUAAUUCAUCUUCUUCUUCAGAGUCUUCUUCAAAAUCCUCUUCUUCUUCAUGUUGAAAGGCUUUAGUAUUUGCAGACUUUCCCAUAAAUUUUAGAACCACAAAUUUAACUGUUCUUUAAGGCUCAUCUUCUUCAAUCUCUAUCUCAUGAAUUCUUAAAGAAAUCAGAAGCUCUUCAAGAGUUAUGUUGUUCAGAUCCUUAGAUAGUUUCAAAGUAAUUACCAUAUGCCUCUAUCUCUUGGGUAAGCUUUUGAUUAUUUUAUUAAAAUGAUCUACAAUAGAGUAACCUUUGUCCAUUACCUUCAGUCUUGCAACAAGAGUCUAAAACCUUGAGAACAUGCUCUCAACAGUUUCACUGUCUUCCAUCUUGAAGGCUUCAUACUUUUGUAUCAAGGCAAGCGCCUUGGUUUCUUUCACUUGAGUGUUUCCUUCAUGAUUAAUGCUUAGAGAAUAAAAAAUAGACUUUGUUGUGUCUCUAUUUAUGAUCUAUUCAUACCCAGAGUAUGAUAUAACAUUCAACAGGAUGGUACUUGCUUUAUGAUGAUUCUUGUAAUCUUUAUUUUGUUGAUCAAUCAUCAUUCUUCUUUCCACCUUUUUAUUGUAGCAGUGCAUUCAUGACCAUCGAGCUAUGGAUAAACCCGAUGUCAAUUGAAAAAUUAGAGUAGCCACCGCGCCUUACUUGUUUCCAAAGGAAAAUGGAAAAGUACGAACAAAACCCAAAGAUAAGAAUUUUUCAAAUCAAAACUAAUAAAAUGCCAGAGAUUACAAGUAAGGGGGUUGGUUACACAAAGGAAAUGUAUUAGCACCCAAAAUGUCCUAGGUACUCUUAGGGAGCCCUUUUUUUGUGUGCAAGUGCUUUAGUUGAAAAUAUGUUUGAUAAAAAUGGAAUGGGGGGAUGAGAAAAGAAUUAAUUUAUUUUUUUGUGUUUGACAAGACCUUUGGUCUUAUGCCUACGUACCAACAUAAAAAUGAGGGAUCAAAAGCCCGUAGUUCGUGGUAAAAAUUUCAAAGAAAUUGGUGGAUUAAUUUUAACAAAGGUUUAGAAGAAGAAGAAACUAGAUGGCCAAAAGAUUUGAAUGAAGUUGUUAAAUCUUUUUUUAUUUUUGAAAUUGAGGUCAAUAUGAUUAAGUUUAUUCAUUUGAAUUAAGAAAAAGUUUGAAAAUUCAUUGGCCUAAGGCCAAAGUUUCCACUCAUUAAAACAUGUCUAAGUUGAAAACACAAGCAAAAAAGGUUUUGAAAAGAGGGAGAGAUUUUGAAAUUAAAGAACUGGGGAGGAGAUGAAGGGAUUGCCCUAAACAAAAUUAAAAGUUAAGAGUUGAAAAAAUAUGACCAAUAGGAAGAAAUCCACAAGACAAGACUGUCAGAUAGAAACCCAUUUCCUUUGAACUUUUGAGUAAGUAAUAAGCAUAAGCAAACAUCCCAUCAAAUAAUAAUGAAGACCAAGGAAUCAAAUAAAGAUAGCCAUAAUAUCCAAGCAAGCAUUCCAAUAGAAAGCAUUCUUCAAUAUCUUUAAAUGUAUCAGAUGAAAAUAUUCCUUGGCAAACUCACAGAGAUAAUCAUCAGACAUCAAUAAUAAUGACAAUAUAACAAUUAAGCACAGAGACAAAGUGACAGAUGAAUCAAGGGAGUCAAGGCUUGCAUUAGAUGAAAGGACACAAUCAAGGAUAAUGGCAUUGGCCAAUUCCUUUUAAGAAUAGGGAAUGUUUCCUACUUCUAAGUCCACGAGUUCAGAUCCAAUCAAGGGCAUAGGGAAUGUUGCCAAUUCUAAGUCCAAGAGUUUGUAUCAAGUCCAACAGUCUGUAGCGGUGCAUUCGUGACCAUCGAGCUAUGGAUAAACCUGAUCUCAAUUGAAAAACCAGAGUCGCCACCGCGCCUUAUUUGUUUCCAAAGAAAAAGGGAAAAUUAUGAACAAAACCCCGAGAUAAGAAUUUUUGAAAUCAAAACUAAUAAAAUUCCAGAGAUUACGGGUAAGGGGGUUGGUUACACAAAAGGAAGGUAUUAGCACCCAAAGUGUCCUAGGUACUCCUAGGGAGCCUUUUUUUUUUGUGUGCAACUGUUUUAGUUGAAAAGAUGUUUGACAAAAAUGGAAUGGGGGAAUGAGAAAAGAAUUCAUUUAUUAUAUUUUUGUGUUUGACAAGAUCUUCGGUCUUAUUCCUAUGUACCAACAUAAAAAUGAGGGAUAAAAACCCUGUAGUUCGUGGUAAAAAUUUCAAAGAAGUUAGUGAAUUGAUUUUAACAAAAGUUCUAAUAAAAAGGGCACAAAAUGGCCAAAAGACUUGAAUGGAGUUGUUAGUUCUUUUUGUCUUUUUGAAAUUGAGAUCAAUAUGAUUAAGUUUAUUCACAAAUUUGAUUUAAGAUUUUUUUUUAAAAAUUCAAUGGCAUAAGGCCAGAGUUUCUAAUUAUUAAAACAUGUCUGAGUUUGAAAUCACAAGCAAAGAAUAUUUUUUAAAAGGAGGGAAAGAUUUGAAAUUAAAGAAGUGGGAGGAGAUGAAGAGACUACCCUAUCCAAAUAAUAUAAGUUAAGAGUUGAAAAGAUAUGACCAAUGGGAUGCAAUCCACAAGACAAGAAUGUCAGAUAGAAACUCAUUUCCUUUGGACUUUUGAGCAGAAAAUAAGCAUAAGCAAUAUCCAAGCAAUUAAUCAUGAAGGCCAAGGAAUCAAAUAAAUAUUGCCAUAAUAUCCAAGCAAGCACUCCAAUAGCAAGCAGUCUUCAAUGUCUUCAAAUGUAUCAGAUGAAAUAUUUCCUUGGCAAACUCACAUAAACAAUCAUCAGACAUAAUUACUAAAAAUAAUAAAACAAUCAAGCAUCGAGACAAAGUGGCAGAUGAACUAGGAGUACUCAAGGUUUUCAUCAUAUGAAAGGCACAGUCAAGGAUAAUUCAGUCUCAGAUAGUGGCAUUGGCCAAGUGCCCAAAGCAUAGGGAAGGUUGCCUAAUUCUAAGUCCAAGAGUUCAGAUAAAGUCAAGGGCAGAGGUCGAACAGUCCACCAACAUAAUUUUUAGGGUUUUUGUUGUUAUUAGGUAUUUUAAUGUCCUAAGACCACAAACAAAACAAAACCAAAAUCACACAAAAUAUACAAGUACAAAUGAUAUGGCUCAAGUGAGCAAAGUGAAAAUGACUGAAACAUAAACAUCUUGCAUAAAAUGUUAAUGGCAAUGAAUGAUAAAGGUACCGAAAUUUAAAUUUCAUUAAGUAAAUGACUUGAAAGUAAAGUAAUGUUAAUGAAAUGUUAGUUAAAUGUUAGUGAAGAGUUUAUUUGUUUAAGUCAUUCUUUGGAGUACACUCAACCAUCCAUUCACAAGUAUGAAGACAUGAACCAAGACAUCAUCCAUGAGAAAGGGCUCCAACUUGGAUAAAUCAACAAGUAUACCACUAGCUCUCAUGAAUGGAAAAAAGGAAAAGUCUUCACACAAUACCAUGAAGAAUGAGAGACUUACAAUCUCACUUAUUAGAAUGCUAUACCUUGCGGGACAAAUUUAGCUAUAUGUUAAGCAAUCGUAAUUGGACUUAUGCAGAAGUCACAACUAUAUGAGGUCGGACAAUAAUAAUAUUAGCGUUAAUGCAUGUUAGAGACUUGGUACAAAGAACCAAACUCUUAAAACAUACCACACACAAAAAUAAAGUGGGAAAGACCUAUCUCAAUCCAGCUCAUGUUGAUUCAUUUGACACAAGGUCAUUGAUGAAUCAACUAGCAUUUGGACAUUAGAGAAAUCAUUGGACAAUGAUGGAUUGGGAAACAAUAUGGAUGAAGAUAAGGAUGGGAGGGGAGAUAGAAACCCAAAUUGAUCACGGGAGGAAAUUCAUAUGAUUAAUACUAUCCAUUCAUCUUCAGGGAUGAAAUGUAUAUUUCAUCAACCCCCAAAAUCCAAAUGUAUUGAUCAAAUAAAAGUUCAAAUCAACCAUGAUCAAGGUCAAACAGAAAGUCAAACAUCACAAAGUGAAUCAAAUGGCUCAACGAUAUUUUUAAACAAUUAAACAAUUAAAAAUCAAUUUUAACAUGAAUUAAAAUGCAUUUUUAAAUGGACAAAACCUCAAAUCCCUUCAAAUCACCAAAUAAAUGGCCAAGGGAUUUAUCCUAGGUCAAACAAGGUCAAAGGAGCCUAGAUAAAAAAAUUUAGAAUUUUGGGAAAGUCAGAAGUAUUUUAUAAUAUUUAAAAACAAGUCCAAAAUCAAUUAAUUCACAAAAAAUAGCAAAAUUAGUCCAAAAAAAUUGAUUUUAAUUCAAAAUAAGGAAGAUGAUUAAAAAUGAAUUUAUUAUAAAUUAAUCAAAAUAAGUGGAUUAAAAGAAAAAUAAGAAAUUGAAACAAAAUUGGAAAAAACAAGGGCCAUCAGAUCUCCCUCAUUAAUUAGGUGGCAGAUCUGAUGGCCACGCAUGUGGUGUCCACCAAACACACUAGUCAAACGCGCUGCAAACAUGUUCAUACAAACAAAGGAGAUAUGAUUAAAACGUUUAAACAUGAUCAUAUGGUUGGGAGGGUGCCAACACACCACCGGAGCCCUAGCUCCGGUCUUCUUCUCCGGUGGACCUCAUUUGACUGAUCCAUCACCAACUUCCAUAAAAAAAAGUAAAUACACUAUUUUGAAGGAAAAAACCUCAGGAGCCCAAAUCUGACCUCAACUUUCUCCAAUUCCAAGUAUAUUGAAAGAUGUAUGGAUUUGAAAUUUGAGGAAUAUGAUCUAAGUUGCUUCGAUUUAACUUCAAAGUAACUCAGUCUUGUUGCCUACAUUGGUAGGACUUCAGCCAACCAAAAACCAAGUGAAAUAAUGGAGAAUUGAGGGAGAAUCAAAGAAGGAAAGUUUCACAAAACUCACAUUCUGUGUGCAGUGAUGAAGCUCGAUCUGGAUUUCAAUUUGCUUGGGCUUGCUUCCACUAGCUUGUAGGAGAUGAAAUGGAUGCUCAAAUGGUUUGGACUCUUGGAGUUUCAAUCUCAAAACAGAAGUGAAAUUGAAACUCGAUUUCAAAUGAAAUCUUCAAGUUUAUCCUAUCAAUGGAGGGUGGAAAUGUUGCAGGAGCAAGGCUUGGGCAAGGUGUCCUUGAUUCGGAGUAGAAUGACUUGCAUUUAUAGGUUUGGCAAUUGAUUUCCACACACUUCCAUUCAAAUGCCAAAAAUAGUAAUUCUAGUGUGCAUGCUUGCAUGGGAGUGUGAUAUGACCAUCAAAUGAUUGGAGUUGGUUCAAAGUUGUGCACAUGUGAUGCUGAAAGCUUAACAUGAGACCAUGCAAAUGUAUUUGAAAAUUGGCCAUGAAAAUCAUCCAAAUUGGGCCAUAAACUACACCCAUGCGCAAAUCCUUCAAAAAUGCUCCAAAUUCCAUGAUCUUAAACUCUCUGGAAAGGUAACAUGAAGCGGAAAACUUUGUUGUUAAAUAAUUUUCCAUUCGGAGCUUGGACCAUUAUGAAUUUUAAGGUGGAAGUUGGAGAAAUCAAACAUAGUUUAAAAUUUUCUAAUUUUAAAGUCAAAUCACCACUUUUUCCACCUUGAAUAACUUUUGCUAUAAGCUUCUAAUGAAAAUCAUUCCUUCUUCAAAGUUUUAUCUAUUUAAUUUAUCUUCAAUUUGGUAAGAAAUUUGUCACCAUUUGGAUCUUUCAUGAGGGAGUUAUGGAUUUUAGAAGUUAAGUAAAAUUGUUUGUUCAAUGAUGAUGGUCCAAAACGACCUAUAAUGUUUCCUCUUGGUACAUGGCCUUUCAAGUUGAAUUUUACAUUUCUCAAAUAAGAAAAGUUGGAUAAGACAUCUUGAAUUUGAUCAUGAAACUUGGAUGUUCUUCAUAUCAUAAAAAUUGAGCAAGGUAUGGUCUUUGGAAGUUGACCUCCUAACUAGGGCACAAACAAAAUGACAUAUAAUCUUUCACCAUAAAAAAUGACUUACCAAGAAAAAUUAGCUCUUGAUGCCAACAUGAAAGUUGUUUGAAAUUUCAUAAAUAGUAGUGUUUCUCUUGGAAUCAUUUUCAUAUGACAAAUAUUGUAGGGGAUAGGGGAUAUGGUACCCUAGAUUUGACUAGUUGACUUUCUCUAGUCAACCUCCUUGAACCAACUUGUAAACUUGAAGUUACAUUGAUCUUUGGGGAUCAUGGAGGAUAAGAUAUGCUUGAGAUGAUGUAUAAUGAAGUAUCCCAUAAUAUAUUUGACCAAUUUAUGAAGAAACUUAUUGAGGAAGUCACACAAGAUACCCUGAUUAAUUAGGGCUUCCAAGGCAAACAAGCUUCAAACUCUUGAUGAAUUCUUGAUCAAAAUGAGAAAUAAUGAACAUGGGGAUCUAUAUAUGAUGUUUAGAACCAUUUUUAACCUUUCCUUGAUUGAUCUCUUUGCAUUUAGGGUCUCAAACCCUAGAUGUGGUCUUGAUGGUGCACAUGUGAACUCACACACUACCUACAAAAGAAAUGAAGUCGCACUAGAUAUAUUUUUGGUAUUUUAAUUAGUAAACCAAAUAAAAAUAAAGUAUGAUACAAUAAAAUGUGCUUGGUGAUCUCUCCCAAUGCAAACGCAAUGAAUGAGGGGUGAGGAGGAUACCAAGGUGUGAUCCCAAAGUCAAUGCAAAUGAUGAGAUAACAUGAGGGAUCUUAGGGUUAAAAUUAGGGUCUUACACAGUCCACCAAGACAUUUUUUAUGGUUUUUAUUGUUAUUAACUAUUUUAAGGUCCUAAGACCACAAACAAAAUCACAAGCACACAAUAUAUACAAUCACAAGAUAUGGCUCAUGUGAGCAAAGUGAAAAUGACUGAAACAUAAACAAGUUGCAUGAAAUGUACAUGGCAAUGAAUGAUAAAGGUACCACAAUUUAAAUUUCAUUAAGUAAAUGACAUGAAAGUAACACAAUGUUAAUAAAAAGUUAGUAAAUUGUUAGUGAAUAGUUUAAUUUUUUAAGUUAUUCCUUGGAGAACACUCAACCAUCCGUUCACAAGUAUGAAGACAUGAACCAAGACAUCAGCCAUGAGAAGGGCUCCAACUUGGAUAAGUCAACAAGUAUGCCACUAGAUCUCAUGAAUGGAAAAAAGUUCAAGUCUUCACACAAUGCCAUGAAGAAUGGGAGACUUACAAUCUCACUUACUAGAAUGUUGUGCCUUGUGAGACAGAUUUAGCUCUAUGUUAAGCAAUCGUAAUUGGAUUAUGUACAAGUCACAACUAUCUAAGACCAGGCAAUAAUAAUAUUGGUGUUAAUGCAUUUUAGGUACAUGGUACAAAGAAUCAAGCUCCUAAAAUAUACCACACACAAAAAGUAAAAUGGGAAUGACCUAUCUCAAUCAGGCUCAUGUUGAUUCAUGUGACACAGGGUCAUUGAUGAAUCAACUAGCAUUUGACUUGUAGAGAAUUCAUUGGUCAAUGAUGGAUUGGGGAAGAAUAGGGAUGAAGAUGAAGAGUAGAUCAUAGGAGGAAUUUCAUCUGAUCAAUACUAUCCAUUCAUUUUGAGGGAUGAAAUGUACAUUUCAUCAACCCCCUAAAUCCAACAGUAUUGAUCAGAUAAAAUUUCAAAUCAACCAUGAUCAAGGCCAAACAGAAAGUCAAACAUCACAAGGUCAACCAAAUGGCUCAACAAUAUUUUUAAACAAUUAAACAAUUAAAAAUAAAUUUUAUAAUGAAGGAAAAUGCAUUUUUAAAUAGACAAAACCUCAAAUCGCAUCUGUAAUACCCUAAUUUUGACCCUAAGAUCCCUCAUGGAAUCAUAUCAUUGCACAUUGCAUUUGCCUCAAGGAUCAUAGCAUCUUGGCUCCUUGCCCUAGGGUGGGACUUGUGUGAGUUGGUUUGAGACCACCAAGCAUGCUUGAAUUGUAUAUUAUUGCUUUCCUUAUUCUGUUUACUAACCAAAAGCACAAAAAUAUGUCACUAACAUCUUUUGUUUUGAGCAAUCAUAAGAUCCAAGGCUCAUAGGAGACCCUAUGCUCAUUGAUGUGGCCAUGUGAAGGUGAAAGCAAGCAUGACAAUGGUUGACAAAUCUCUCAAUCAUCAUAUAUGCCUCCCAAGUAUCUCAAUUUGUCAAUUCGAUCAAGAUAAACCAAAGGGCUUGAGGAUUAUUUCCCAAGGAAACCCUAAUUCAACUGUGCAUUGACUGUGCCUUGCUCAUGAAGCAACCUCAACCCAUGAUCAAAUAGAAUCAAGGGAAGUUCUUUCAUUCAUCAUUUCAUGCAUAUUUGAGCUUAUUUGAGUGUCCUCAAUCAUCAAUUCAUCAAGAUUGGAAGUUUGGACUUGAGAAUUUGAUCAGUCAAUUCAUCUGACUAUUUUGAAAUCCACUGAGACCUAACUUUUAAUGUUUUUGUCAAAUGGAGAUAACCCCAAGAGAAACAAUGUUCUUAAGAACCAUAUGAACAACUUUCAUGUUCAUCAAAAAUCCAAAUGAUGCAAAAUUUAAGUCCAAAUUGAUUUUCUUGAAAAGAUAUACAACUUUGAUGUUGAAGGUUUUGUCAUUUGAGGCUUGCAUCAUUGAAACAGAAGGGCUUAAAGUUGGUCCAUUUUGGAAAAUUUCACAUGCACAUCUUUUGCACCUUAAACUUUAUGACCAAUUUUCAUUAAUUUCCCAAUUCCAAAUGGAUUUUUGUCCAACAUAACAAUUGUUCCUCAUGUCAAGACCUUUCCAACCAUUACCCACAAGGCCAUGUUUCACUUUGGUAAGAUGCAUUUUCGAAGAGGAGAACAUUUAUGUGCAUUUUUUGUAACAAUGAUGAAACUUCAUGCACACCCCAAUUCAAUUACAUUUGCACGUCCAAACCUGAUUGUUAUGACUUCAGCAUGCCAAAUCAUUUGCAUUUGGGCCUCCCAUACGCCUGUACAAGCCCAUUCAUGGAGGCCCUCACUUCAUGCACACAUGAAUUUUCCAUGCCUUGCAGCUUGCUUUGCUAUAAAUAGAGGUGUUCAACUCCACCAUUUCCCAACCUUAAGGCGCCUUAUAUGCUGCAGAAGUGAAUCCCCACACCCUACCAAAGGAAUUUUGCAUUUUCACUUCAAAUUUUCAGAUCCAAUUUUCAACUUCCUUGGUUGAUUAUUGGACUCUAAUUCCUUAGCCUUGCUCUAUCUCCAUCUCAAAAACACACUGCAAUCAAGAGUUAGAAGUGAUCGUGCUUCAUAGAGUUGCACUUCAAAGGUUGUUAUCCAAACUUUUUCAAUUCGAAACUCACUGAUUCUUGCUCAUUUCUUGUGUUUAUUGGCUUGUCUGAAAUCCUCUCAUAAGAGGCAAUUGAAUUAUGUGUUUAAUUUUGCAAAUCCAUCAAGUUCAGUUUGAACUCCAUGAUUUUCUCUCUCUGAUUUCUCUUUCUAUGAGAGUCUAGAGGAGGAACCAAUGGUACAGGGGUGAUGUACAUCACCCCAGCUUUCCAAUGAUAUGAGGAUCGCUUGUUUUGGUUGAGUUUUUAUCUCUUUCUAUGAGAGUCUAGAGGAGGAACCAAUGGUACAGGGGUGAUGUACAUCACCCCAGCUUUCCAAUGAUAUGAGGAUCGCUUGUUUUGGUUGAGUUUUUCAUACCUGCAACUUUCACCGGAGUUGAUGCACUCGCCGGAGAAGACAGUGGUGUACACUACCGUCUCUGUUGCUAGAUCUCAUGUGGACCGUUGGAUUGUGAUUCCAGUUUAAAUCGUGGCCCUUGGAUGUUAUGACCUUUUUAAUUCAUUGUGUUGCUCAGUUGACUAGAGCCCAUCGUGCACGCACAUCUCUCCUCCCUUGGAUGUGCCACCUCAAUUAAUGAGGUUGAUCCAACGCGCCUGGAUUUUUUGCUUUUCUGAUUUUUCUAUUUUAUUUUCCAUUAUUUCAUUUUAAUUCAAAAAAUCAUAUCUCUUUCAUUUUAAAUCCAAAAAAUAUGGGACCAAUUGCAUUAUUUCCCUUUUUAAUUCUAGUUUCUGAAAAUGAUUUUUAAUAUUUUUUAUUUUGUCAUUUGAUAUUUUUUAUCAUAUCUCUUUCAUUUUAAAUCCAAAAAAUAUGGGACCAAUUGCAUUAUUUCCCUUUUUAAUUCUAGUUUCUGAAAAUGAUUUUUAAUAUUUUUUAUUUUGUCAUUUGAUAUUUUUUGUGAAUUUUCACUUUUCUGGUUAUUUUUAAUUCAUUUUAAAUAGUUUUCAAUAUUCAAAAAAUGCAAAAAUAUUUUCUUAGCCUCUUUGAAUGAUGAUGAAUCUAUGAAAAAUAUUCUCAUCAAUUUAUUAAUUGAUUUGAGAUUUAUUUGAGAUUUUAGUUCAAUUAGGUUAUUUUUAUUCAUUUUUAGUUGUUUAAAAAUAGUUUUUGGUUUCUAAAAAUGUUGGAAUUUUUUGUCAAACUUUGUUUGACCUUGUUGAACUUAGGAUGAUCCAUUUGGACUUUUCAAAGUUGAUUUGAAAUGGAUUUGAAGUUUGACCUUUGUUUGAUUAUUUUAAUUCAAGUAUUAUUUUAAUUUUCGAAAAUACCAAAAAUAUUUUAUUUGUUUUUUGACUUCUAAGCUUCAUUAUGCUUCUAUUUACCAUUGAUUGACUUUGAUUCUAUUCAUGUUUGAUCAAUGUGUGUUGGAUAUCUCAUUUGCAUUUCCAUUCAUGUACAUUCUUAUUCAUCUUCUUCUUUUUUUUCUUUUUUUGAUCAAUGGGUUAAAGAUUGGUGGUUAGCCUUGACAUAUGGGAGGCUUAACCUUCCUUGAUUCAAAUCUAAUUCACCUUGAUCAUAUAUCAAGUGAAUGGCUUUGCAUUAAGGAUAGGUUGCUUCUUGGUCAAGCAAAAAAACCUAGAUCAAUACAAGAUCAUUCUUCUUUUCUUUUGGCAUGGCAAGUUGUAGGAGCUUGGCUUACUAGUCAAGGUCUCUAACUUGUGUUUGUUGCCUAUAUUUUUAUUGACCGGCCUCAGAUAGAUGUGACUACUGUUAGAUUCCCAAAAGUGAUUAUUUGAGCUAUCAAAUGUGGGCAUAUUUCACUCCUUUUUGUUGCUAAAGUGUUCGAAACUGCCUUUGUUUUAGAUGAAUUGCAAUACAAUGUUAAACGAUCUUGGUACCUUUAAUUUGUGCGUUAUUGUGCAGGAAUUAGGCAUGAAAUAAUAGAAAAUGAAGGCACAAGAAAGUUGGCAAAGGGACCAAGAAAAGAAUGCAUUCAUCAGCAUGCUCGCUAGGCGAGUGCUGUGGCGAAGUGCUCGCUAGGCGAGCACCAAGCGAGCUGCUAGCGAGCAUUCCCAGAAUUUUACAGUAGCAAAGUCAGCAAACUCGCUAGGCGAGCAUCCAGCGAAGGUGGUAGCGAACACACCCAGACUUGGUCAAAAGCACAGCCAGCACUUACUCGCUAGGCGAGCACCUAGCGAGCUCCCAACGAGCAAUUCCAGUAGCAAAACCAUCUAAGCUCGCUGGAGCGAAGGUGGAAGCGUGGGCUUCGCCUAGCGAACACAUGAAAUAUGGCCAAGGAUAUUUCUCUGAGCGCAGGUUCCUCUGGUGCCUAUUUUGGGGCUCGCUAGGCGAACCAUUCUGCUCGCCUAGCGAGCAUGACAGCUCAGACAGCAGUACUAUAAGUAGCAGGGGCUACUUUUUGGAAGCCAUACUUUGUACUUUUUAAACUUAGCAUUUCUUAGAUAUUUUCCAGCAUUGCUCUAGAGAUAUUUUGUAACCUAGAAACACUUUUUCUUCAUUUUUCUUCAUCUCUUAACAAUAUUCCACAAAAAGAAGGUGGAUUCCCAUCCAAUCUCGAUUCUUCGACUUGGAUGUUGAUCAACCUUCAACCGAGACUUUUUGUACAAGCCACCAUGAAAAUGAGUGGCUAAGUUCUUCAUUUUGUCAAGGUUAGAUGUAGAUGAUCUUAAGCUUUGUGUGUAUAUGAGAUGAUCUUCAUUUGUAAACUCUUUAAUGAUGAAUAUAUGGUGAAAACUAUGUUUUAUCGAUAACUCUUUGUGUUGGUUUAUGAUCGAGAGAUGUUUACCAACUCUUUACCUAGGUUUUCAUCCAAUCUUAUUUGUUAGCUAGAGAUAGUAAUGAAUGAUUUUGUUCACCAUAAGGUUGAACCAAAAAUUUGUCAUUUUGAUAGAUUGUGUUAGAGAUAAACAAUGGAUCAUUUACCCUUUUGAGUGUUACACACAAUGAGAUAAACACAUUGGGAGGACUUUGUGAAAUAGUUUAUCAUCUAAAGGAGUUUAUGAGUCUUGUUGAUCGAACGUAUACAUGCAAAGUGAUCGUCGAACUCUAACUUUGACAAUCUUUCUCAAAUAGAAAAACCAAAACUUUUACCGCAUUUUCUUACACUUUUAUGCAAGCUACCGUGACCAAAACCAAAACCCCCUUGUUACUGCGAGUUAAGAAUUAAAACAACUGUCGAACGGCGACGAUAUCUCACAAUCCCUGUGGAUAUGAUAACAAAAACCCGAUACUUAAAAUUACUACAUUCAACAAAAUGGCGUCGUUGCCGGGGAUUGUAAAUUGAUAUUGCGAGCAUCGCAAUAGUUGCUAGAUUUUUAGCUUUUGAAUUUUUUGACUUGUGCUUGUAAUUUGUUUGGUUUAGUGUGCAGCUUUCGUUUUAUGCGAGGGCAGGUUCCCGAGGACGAACUUCUUUUUGAUCCAGAGAUUGAAAGAACUGCAAGGAGACUGAAUAGCAGAACGAGACAAAGGAGGCAGCAAGCUAGACAACGACAAGAACAAGGAGAAAGUUCUUCUACAACACAUCCACCACCUUUCACACCUAUCAUGGAUCAACCACCACAACCACCGCCCAUUUCCACACCAUGUGUAAACAGUUCCAAGGAAUACUUCUCAGUUUGCCAACCACACGGGAAGGCAAGCCGAGAUGAAAACGGGAACUCUUAACUUGCUAUAUGGAAGUCCAUUCACCGGAAUGGACCAUGAAGAUCCCUUUGCUUUUCUCACCAAAUUUUAUGAGAUAGCAUUGGCGGCCGGAGUUGAUCAAGCUCAAGAGCUACUGUUGUUCAAAAGAUUAUUUCCCCAUGCUUUGCUCGGCAAAGCGAAAGAUUGGUACUUGGAUCAAACACCUGCAUUCAUGACGGAUUGGAACGUGUUGGAAGAGAAGUUCAUUGAAAGAUUUUUCUCCCACAACCGUUUCAUGGAAUCCAAAACGGCAAUCUCCGUGUUUUCACAAGGGACCAACGAAUCAUUGAAUGAAGCAUCGGAAAGAUUUAAAUCCAUGCUUCAGAAGUGCAAAGGGCACGGUUUCGACGAAUUGACUCAAAUCCACAUUUUCAAAAAUGGCCUUCAACCAAAUUGCAAGACUUUGCUGGAUGCUACCUCGGGUGGUUAUUUGUUGUCUAAAGCGCCGAAGAAGCCACUGAUAUCAUUAACCGAAUGGCUCUAAAUGACCUCCAAAGUCAAAGUAGAGGCAACUCUUCGAAGAAACCGGGAGUGCUUGAACUUGGGACGAACGAUGCCAUUCUUGCCCAAAACAAACUCAUUUCCCAACAAGUUGAACUCUUAACUCAACAAAUAAAAGAGUUGAGAGAGCCUUCAAAAGCUAAACAAAUAGCUUGUUGUGAGCUUUGCAAAGGUGAGCAUGACACCGGGUUUUGUCCACCUCCCGGGUUCGAAGAAGUAAAUUACAUGGCGAACCAACGAGACUACCAACCGAGGCAACAACAACAACAACCGUAUCAACCACAUCCUCCAAAUCAACAACAACACUUUCAAGGGAAUCAAGGGUUCCAACCAAGGAGUAACUAUUACCAUAACCAAGGUUAUGGGGGUGGUUCUUCUAGCCAUCAACACCCUCCCCAAAAUCCUUACCAACCUCAACGACCGCCGGUCGUAACUUCAAAGUUGGAAGAGACAUUGACACAAUUUAUGCAAAUGUCGAUGGCUAAUCAAAAGAGCAACGAUGCGGCAAUCAAAAAUCUCGAAACUCAAGUCGGUCAACUUGCUAAGCAACUAACGGAACAACAACCUGGACCAUCUUUUUCGGCGAACACGCAAACGAAUCCUAAAGAGCAUUGUAAAGCGAUAACGACGAGAAGUGGAAGGGAGUUGAUUAGUGAGAGUGAAAAGAGAGAUGAGAGUAAAAAAAAGAGGAUGAAGAAAAUGAUGAGGAGAAAAUAAUCGAGGAUAGUAUUGAUGGUGAAGUUGGGGAGUGGAGUGAGGAAGAAGUUGAAAAGAAUGAAAAAAAUGGUGAAGUUGAAAAUAAAGAAAGUGUGGAAAUUGAGAAAAAUAAGAGUGAUGAAGUGAUGGAGAGGAAGAAGUUGAAAAGAAUGAAAAAAAUGGUGAAGUUGAAAAUAAAGAAAGUGUGGAAAUUGAGAAAAAUAAGAGUGAUGAAGUGAUGGUGGAGGAAGUGAAAAAGAAAAGAGCGAGAAGUUCUACAGUUGCUAAAGGAAAGGAGGUAGUGAGCGCUACUCCAAUCCAAAACCUUCCGUAUCCACAUGCUCCAUCUAAAAGGGAGAAUGAACGACAUUACGCCCGGUUCAUGGAUAUUUUCAAACAACUGCAAGUGAACAUUCCAUUUGCCGAAGCAUUGGAGAAAAUGCCAAAGUAUGCAAAAUUCAUGAAAGACAUACUUACUAAAAAGCGGAGGUAUACGGAACCGGAGACCAUUGUCCUAGAUGCGAGUUGUAGUGCAAUCAUUCAACGAACGCUUCCAAAAAAAGAGGUUAAUUCGGGACGAGUUACUUUGCCGGUUAAAAUUGGUGAUGUCUAUGUCGGAAAAGGACUAAUUGAUUUAGGGUCAAACAUUAAUCUAAUACCAUUGUCUAUUGUUAAGAGGCUUGGCAACAUUGAAAUCAAGGCCAUCCGGAUGACGUUGCAAUUGGCCGAUAAGUCGACUACCCAUCCUCAUGGCGUAGCCCAAGAUGUGUUGGUCAAAGUUGACAAAUUUUUCUUCCCGGUUGACUUCAUUGUGAUUGAUAUGGAAGAGGACGACGAUGCUCCGCUCAUUCUUGGCCGACCGUUCAUGAAAACCGCACGCAUGAUGAUAGACGUUGAAUAGACGUUGACGACGGUUUGAUGAAGGUAAGGGUCCAAAAUGAAGAAGUUACUUUCGAUCUAUUCGAAGCCAUGAAGCAUUCAAAGGAUAGAAGUGAUAGCUUUCGCAUUGAUGUGAUCGAAGAGGAAACUAUUGAGGUUUCUAAACAUAUUCAUGAGAUAGACCCUAUGGAGUUAGCUCUUGAUGACUCCUUCGAAGUUUUCACAAUUGAAGAAGAGCAAGCUCUUGAUGAAUGCCUAAGGGAACUUGAUAGUCUAGAAGAGUUACAUCCGUGGGAAGUUGAGGAGGAAGUAUUGAAGAAGGAGGUUAAUGAAGAAAAAUCGCCGAUUGAAUUGAAAUUGUUACCUUCUACUUUGAAGUAUGUAUUCCUAGAUGAGACCGAAGCAAAGUCGGUUAUCAUAAGCAAUCUUUUGACAAAGAAUGAAGAAGCCCGUUUGAUCAAUGUGUUGAAAAAAAAUCAAGAAGCCAUGGGUUGGACUCUUUCCGAUCUCAAAGGAAUUAGUCCUUCCUAUUGCAUGCACAAGAUCUUAAUGGAAGAGGAUUUUAAGCUGGUAGCUCAACCACAACGCCGCUUAAAUCCUACUAUGAAGGAAGUUGUUAGAAAGGGAGUUGUUAAGUUGUUGGAUGCGGGAAUGAUCUACCCGAUUUCGGAUAGCCAAUGGGUUAGUCCUGUGCAUGUGGUUCCGAAGAAAGGUGGCAUUAUCGUGAUUCGAAAUGAAAAAGAUGAGUUGAUCCCGACAAAAGUGGCAACGGGGUGGCGAAUGUGCAUUGAUUAUAGGCGGUUGAAUACCGCAACUCGAAAAGAUCACUUUCCACUCCCGUUCAUGGAUCAAAUGCUAGAAAGACUUUCGGGGCAACAAUACUAUUGUUUCUUAGAUGGCUAUUCCGGGUAUAACCAAAUUGCGGUUGACCCGACCGAUCUUGAAAAGACGGCUUUCACAUGUCCUUUUGGAAUUUUCGCAUACCGUAAAAUGCCAUUUGGGUUGUGCAAUGCACCGACGACUUUCCAAAGAUGUGUGCAAGCUAUUUUUGCCGACCUUAUCGAGAAAACAAUGGAAGUCUUUAUGGAUGACUUCUCAGUAUUUGGUGGUUCCUUUAGUCUAUGCUUGGCAAACUUGGAAACGGUUCUUGAAAGAUGUGUGAAGACCAAUCUUGUUCUUAAUUGGGAGAAGUGCCACUUCAUGGUGACCGAGGGGAUAAUGCUUGGCCAUAAAGUCUCUUCAAGAGGGCUUGAAGUUGAUCGUGCUAGGGUUGAAGUGAUUGAAAAGUUAUUUCCUCCGGGGAAUGUGAAGGGAAUCCUAAGCUUUCUAGGGCAUGCCGGUUUCUAUCGGCGCUUUAUCAAAGACUUCUCAAAGGUAGCUAAGCCUUUGAGUAACUUGCUAGCUAAGGAUCAGGUAUUUCUUUUAACCGAUGAAUGUUUGCAAGCUUUUGAGAUUUUAAAAGAAAAAUUGGUUAUCGCUCCAAUUAUAGUCGCUCCAAAUUAGAAUCUAAAUUUUGAGCUCAUGUGUGAUGCGAGCGACUAUGAAAUCGGAGCGGUAUUAGGCCAAAGAAAAAAGAAAAAUUUUCAUGCGAUACAUUACGCAGGUAAAUUUCUUAAUGAGGCUCAAAUUAACUAUGCCACCACUGAAAAAGAAUUACUGGCCAUAGUGUAUGCACUUGAAAAGUUUAGGUCUUAUCUUAUAGGGUCCAAAGUCGUAGUGUGUACCGACCACUCGGCGAUUAAAUAUUUGCUCACCAAACCGAACUCGAAGCAAAGGCUGAUCCGUUGGAUCCUCUUGUUGCAAGAAUUUGACGUUGAAAUCAAAGACAAGAAAGGAUCGGAAAAUUUGGUGGCGGAUCAUUUAUCUCGCUUAGUUAAUAUGGAGGUUACCGCUUCAGAGAAGGAAAUCCGGGAAGAGUUUCCUGAUGAAAAACUUUUCAAAAAAACUUUUCAAAAUUCAAGUUAGGCCGUGGUUUGCAGACUUUGCGAACCACAAGGCUAGUGGUUUUGUGCCUCCCGACCUAACUUCGAACCAAAAAAGGAAGUUUCUUUCGGAUGCCAAGUACUAUGUAUGGGAUGACCCAUACUUGUUUAAGUUGGGUAGUGAUAACCUUUUAAGGAGAUGCGUUACUGGCGAUGAAGCGCAGAGCAUCCUUUGGGAUUGUCACAACUCGCCUUACGGCGGACACUAUAAUGGGGUAAGAACGGCCACUAAAGUCCUUCAGUCAGGAUUUUAUUGGCCCACUAUUUUCAAAGACGCACAUGCUCAUGCGCAAAGUUGUGAUAGUUGCCAGAGAAGUGGUGGGAUUGGUAAGAGAGACGAGAUGCCUCUCGAAAACAUCCAAGAGGUUGAAGUAUUUGAUUGUUAGGGCAUCGAUUUUGUAGGACUAUUCCCACCUUCUUAUGGUAACGAGUAUAUGCUUGUCGUAGUUGAUUACGUUUCUAAGUGGGUUGAGGCGAUUGCCUCACCUCGGGCGGAUGCGAAAACGGUAAUAAUUUUUUUGAAGAAAAACAUAUUUUCCCGUUUCGGAACCCCCCGAGUGUUGAUUAGUGACGGAGGGUCACACUUUUGUAAUGCACCGUUNNNNNNNNNNNNNNNNNNNNNNNNNNNNNNNNNNNNNNNNNNNNNNNNNNNNNNNNNNNNNNNNNNNNNNNNNNNNNNNNNNNNNNNNNNNNNNNNNNNNNNNNNNNNNNNNNNNNNNNNNNNNNNNNNNNNNNNNNNNNNNNNNNNNNNNNNNNNNNNNNNNNNNNNNNNNNNNNNNNNNNNNNNNNNNNNNNNNNNNNNNNNNNNNNNNNNNNNNNNNNNNNNNNNNNNNNNNNNNNNNNNNNNNNNNNNNNNNNNNNNNNNNNNNNNNNNNNNNNNNNNNNNNNNNNNNNNNNNNNNNNNNNNNNNNNNNNNNNNNNNNNNNNNNNNNNNNNNNNNNNNNNNNNNNNNNNNNNNNNNNNNNNNNNNNNNNNNNNNNNNNNNNNNNNNNNNNNNNNNNNNNNNNNNNNNNNNNNNNNNNNNNNNNNNNNNNNNNNNNNNNNNNNNNNNNNNNNNNNNNNNNNNNNNNNNNNNNNNNNNNNNNNNNNNNNNNNNNNNNNNNNNNNNNNNNNNNNNNNNNNNNNNNNNNNNNNNNNNNNNNNNNNNNNNNNNNNNNNNNNNNNNNNNNNNNNNNNNNNNNNNNNNNNNNNNNNNNNNNNNNNNNNNNNNNNNNNNNNNNNNNNNNNNNNNNNNNNNNNNNNNNNNNNNNNNNNNNNNNNNNNNNNNNNNNNNNNNNNNNNNNNNNNNNNNNNNNNNNNNNNNNNNNNNNNNNNNNNNNNNNNNNNNNNNNNNNNNNNNNNNNNNNNNNNNNNNNNNNNNNNNNNNNNNNNNNNNNNNNNNNNNNNNNNNNNNNNNNNNNNNNNNNNNNNNNNNNNNNNNNNNNNNNNNNNNNNNNNNNNNNNNNNNNNNNNNNNNNNNNNNNNNNNNNNNNNNNNNNNNNNNNNNNNNNNNNNNNNNNNNNNNNNNNNNNNNNNNNNNNNNNNNNNNNNNNNNNNNNNNNNNNNNNNNNNNNNNNNNNNNNNNNNNNNNUCUAAUCGUGAGAUUAAGAGAAUUCUCGAAAAAACUGUGUCAAAUUCGAAAAAAGAGUGGUCACAAAAAUUGGAUGAAGCGUUAUGGGCAUACCGUACCGCCUUUAAAGCUCCAAUUGGCCUAACUCCUUUUCAAUUGGUGUUUGGUAAAACUUGCCAUUUGCCGGUCGAAUUGGAGCACAAAGCCUUGUGGGCUCUGAAAUUUUUAAAUUUUGAAAAGGAUUUGGCCGGUGAGAAAAGGAAAGUGCAACUGCUCGAGUUGGAAGAGAUGUGCAAUGCCGCAUAUCACUCGAGUUGGUUGUAUAAAGAAAAGGUAAAAAAAUAUCAUGACAAAAAGCUUCGAAAGAAAGAAUUUGUGCCCGGACAGUUGGUCCUAUUGUUCAAUUCCAGGUUGAAGCUAUUCCCUGGAAAAUUGAAAUCAAAAUGGUCCGGGCCAUUUCGGGUCAAAGAAGUCAAGGAAUAUGGAGCUAUUGUCAUUGAGGACAUGGACAAGAAGGAGAGUUGGAAGGUGAAUGGCCAAAGUUUGAAGGUUUAUCUCAGCGGUCAUGUGGAUCGCGAGAGCUGUGCUAUUUCCUUGGAUGCUCCUCUGUGAGCAUCGAACCGUCGAGCUCAUCCGACGUUAAACAAGCGCUUGUUGGGAGGCACCCCAACAUUGUAAGUAUUUAAAAGCUUUCUGUUGUGUGGUAUUGGGAUUCCAAUUGAUAAACCUUGCUGAAUGUGAUUUACCUGCUGUUAUGAAAAAAAACAAAUUGUUGUCAUGCUCGCUAGCUGCUCGCUAGGCGAAGGCAGUAGCGAGAUGAAUCGCUAUCUGCUCGCUAGGCGAAGCAGUAGCGAGCGCUGCGUGGCAGCACUUUAUUUCUGUUUCACAGGGCCACUCAUUUGGGCCCAAACACUUGUUAUUUCGUUUUUUUUAGUCUGAUAAAAGUAUCAAGCUUAUUCUCACUAGCACUCACAAACGCUCUCACAUUCAUUCUCACACAAACCCUAACAUUGCAUCCCUAACCUCCUGUGCAUUUCAAAUUCAACAGAUCUCAAAUCAGGUUUUCCCUUUCUUCAUUACUUUAUGUUUCCAAUUUGCUUGAAAUUUCUGAAUAUGUGACAUUUAGGGUGAAUUUGGUAUUGUGGGUAUCAUUAGGUUUUGCAUGUGGGUUUAGAAUUGCAUGUAUCUUAGAACGAUUCUUUGCAUGAUAAAUCAUUUUGUUUCUGAAAGGGAUACCAUGAGACUUAGGUUUUCUUGGAAUUUGGUUGUUAAACAUUUCAGAACCCAAAACCCGUAAGAUUCGCUAGCAUCUCGCUAGACGAAUCAGUGGCGAGCAUUCGCUGCCACUUCGCUAGGCGAACCUGUAGCGAAGCUUCGCUAGGUCAUCGCUAGGCGAAGCAGCAGCGACCAUGACAGUAGUUGGAAUUCUGUUUUGCUUUCUAAUCUGUUUUGUGUUUGUGUUGUUUCCUCUCUAUGUCUUUGCAAAUGGCAUCCAAGUCCAGCAUUUCGAAAAAAAGAAAGGUCGGGAGCACUUCCCGUACCGUGCCCAUACAGUUCGACACCGACAAAUUUGUCGGGGCAAAGCAAGCGGCUAGAUAUGUGGCUUUGGAAAAGUGAAAUUUUUUGCCAGAAAAGAGAUUUAUAAUCAACCCCGAAGGCACCUACCGUACAUUUGUCGGGUUGAUACAUAGCAAAAAGUGGGACCGGUUGAUAUCUCCCCUUGAGCAUUAUGACAUCGAAACAGUGCGUGAGUUCUACGCGAACGCACUGCCUAACGAUAAUGAGCCAUUCACAUGGACGACUAGAGUCUCCGGCCGUACUGUUGCUUUCGAUCGGGACACAAUUAACCGUGUCUUGGGUGAACCGCUCCAUCUGGGGGCAAAUGAGAGAGACACAUACCAUAGGGAUUUGAGGCUUCACCGGGAUACCGAUUCAAUUUCUGCUGCCCUGCUUUUUGAAGGGAAACCAGUUGAGCUGAACCCAUCUGGGGUUCCGAUGAGAUACCAUAGGGAGGACAUGAUUCCCUUGGCUCAAUUGAUCCUUAUGUUGGUUCUGACAAAUAUAAAACCCAAGUCUCACACCUUAACCGUGCCGAUCCCAGUGGCACACUUGGUUCACUGCAUUCUCACGAAUAUCCAAAUUGAUGUGGUGAGGAUAAUUGCUUUGGAGUUGAAGUCCGUGAUUGAGAGCGGGCUAAAGUUGGGGGCACGAGUAGAUUGUCCCCUUGCUUUCCCGUGUCUCAUCAUGGCUUUGUGCCAACAAGCGAGGGUGAAGCUACCCUCCAGGAGUCAAAUAACGAUCCCGCCAGCCAUCGAUGACAGAUACGUGGCCAAGUACUGCAAACCGAAGAACUUAAGAAGUAGUUCAGCUGCUGAGGUUACUGGGGCUUCUGAUGGUCCUGGUACUUUUGCUCAGGGAUCCGAUCCUUUCCAACAGGCUGUCUUCAACUAUAAUUGGGAUUGGAUGGCGGCAACUCAGCGCGCCAUGCUCGAUAUGCACGAUUUUAUGCAGUUGUUGCAGUUGCAGGUGCGUGACCCCUCCGGUGAGCAUUCAAUGAUGACACGUGAGCAGUUUCUGCAGCACGCUAGCUGGCCUGUGGACAUGCCUGUGUUCGGAGAGGGGGCGGGUGCUGGUGCAUCUGGUGUUGGUGCUUCUGGUGGUGCUGAGGAUGAAGGUGAUGAUGAUGAUGAUGAUAGUGAUGAUGCUACCGGUUCUGAGGCCGGUAAUGAUAAGGGUUCUGAGUCCUUUGGGGGCUAAGUUUGUUUUAUUUUUAUUGUAUUUUCAGAUUUGUAGUAUUUCGAUUUUUGUUAUGUACUUUUGGGGUGUUUUGUCCCCCACGCACAUUAUUUUUAAAAUUUUGAAGUAAUGUUAUAAUUUAUGUUUUAAAAUUUCUUUUGUUUGUUUGGUUUAAAUUUCUUUUGUUUUAAUAAAUUUUUGGUUGGUUGAGUGUCAAACCUUCUAGAUUGGUUGCUCCUCAAAGAAGUAUCCAAUGAAGGUGCAUCCGAGCUUGGAUGGCAAAUGAUAAAAAUAAACCAAGUGAAUAUGCUAAGGUACUGUUACCUCCACAGAUUUUAGAAUGCAUUAAGAACUUUACUCUUUUUUUGUAAUUGAAUAUUGUCUUUUUGCAACAUAUUGAAUGAAUGUUUCAUCUAGGGACUUUAAAACCACAAAAUGGUGAGGAAACCUCUAUUGUACACUUAAAUGUUGGAUUCUAAUAAGCUUGUUGAUUCAUUUGAUUCAUGCUUUGUCUUUUAAUUGUGAUAUGUGGAAGCAAUUAAGAAAUGAUCAAGGCCGCUUUUUCUAUCGAGCACAACCAAUUCCAAAUACAACUUAUCCGGGAGCAGAGAGAGUAUUCAUUAACCCUUUGAGCUUAACAGUUGAAUCUCAGCUUGAAAAUAAAGCGAGAUGUCAAAAAUCUUUUUUCUUGAAACCCGGAAAAUUUUGAUAAUUAUUCUUUUGCCGUAAAAAGUCAAGAGCAUUCACUUAGGGUGAGUAAGAAAUAAGUUGGGGAGAACGAAAAAGAGAAUCGGUAAGUGCCACAACUCUUGAAAAACCAAGCAAGCACUGAAAAUAAAAAAAAAAAUUAGAAAAGAGAAACAUUUGUUUUGUAAAUAUGAUGUGAAAGAAAAGAAAAAAUAGAGAAAAUGAAAAUGAAUGCUUGCUGGGAAGAAAAAUAGUGAAAAACAAAAAUUGAGUUGUGAAAUAAGAGUUAUGAAGGUUUCAAAUGAGAAACAAAAGGGAACGAAGUUGAGAUGUGUGAAUAGUGUACAGUGAAUGUCUCUUUUGCAUCGGAAAUUUCGUUUUCAAUGGCCUUAGAAAUGACCCUUGUUUGUAAACCUAACCAAGCUACAACCGGAAAGUCCUUAGUGAUCUUCGUGCUUCCGCAUUUUCAUUUAUAAUUGUUAGACAUUGUAUGAAUUGAAUUGAUUUCUUCAUUGUUUGUUGGAGAGAGAGAGAUUGUCCCCGCGGUUGCAAACGCGUAAUUUCUUCAAUCCUUAUUCGAAGAGGAGAGAUAGGGUGAUUCAUUAAUUGAUUUCUUCAUUGUUUGUUGGAGAGAGAGAGAUUGUCCCCGCGGUUGCAAACGCGUAAUUUCUUCAAUCCUUAUUCGAAGAGGAGAGAUAGGGUGAUUCAUUCAAGAUAAUAUUGUUGUGGAUAAAUACAUAUUUUGCAUUUCUAUUAAGUUUUAGUUUUUGUGUAUUAUGUUAUUCUAACCAUUGGGAAUUUGUAUCUGGUUUAUUCGCUUGUGUUUGAGCCGUUUUAUCCGACUUCGGAGAAACCUUUUUCUUUAAGCAAAUCAUCUUGUCCUUCAAGAGGCAUACUUUGCUUGAGGACAAGCAAGAAUCUAGUUGGGAGAGUUGUUAGAUGCCAAAAAGUGCUUAUUUGAGCUAUCAAAUGUGGGCAUCUUUCACUCCUUUUUGUUGCUAAAGUGUUUGAAACUGCCUUUGUUUUAGAUGAAUUGCAAUACAAUGUUAAACGAUAUUGGUACCUUUAAUUUAUGCGUUAUUGUGCAGGAAUUAGGCAUGAAAUAAUAGAAAAUGAAGGCACAAGAAAGUUGGCAAAGGGACUAAGAAAAUAAUGCAUUCAUCAGCAUGCUCGCUAGGCGAGUGCUGUGGCGAAGUGUUCGCUAGGCGAGCACCCAGCGAGCUGCUAGCGAGCAUUCCCAGAAUUUUAGAGUAGCAAAGUCAGCAAACUCGCUAGGCGAGCAUCCAGCGAAGGUGGUAGCGAACACGCCCAGACUUGGUCAAAAGCACAGUCAGCACUAAAUCGCUAGGCGAGCACCUAGCGAGCUCCCAACGAGCAAUUCCAGUAGCAAAACCAUCUAAGCUCGCUGGAGCGAAGGUGGAAGCGUGGGCUUCGCCUAGCGAACACAUGAAAUAUGGCGAAGGAUAUUUCUCUGGGCGCAGGUGCCUCUGGUGCCUACUUUGGGGCUCGCUAGGCGAACCAUUCUGCUCGCCUAGCGAGCAUGACAGCUCAGACAGCAGUACUAUAAGUAGCAGGGGCUACUUUUUGGAAGCCAUACUUUGUACUUUUUAAACUUAGCAUUUCUUAGAUAUUUUCCAGCAUUGCUCUAGAGAUAUUUUGAAACCUAGAAACACAUUUUCUUCAUUUUUCUUCAUCUCUUAACAAUAUUCCACAAAAAGAAGGUGGAUUCCCAUCCAAUCUCGAUUCUUCGACUUGGAUGUUGAUCAACCUUCAACCGAGACUUGUUGUACAAGCCCAUGAAAAUGAGUGGCUAAGUUCUUCAUUUGUCAAGGUUAGAUGAGUGAUCAUAAGCUUUGUGUAUAUGAGAUGAUCUUCAUUUGUAAACAUCUUUAAUGAUGAAUAUAUGGUGGAAAGUUUGUUUUAUCGAUAACUCUUUGUGUUGGUUUAUGAUCGAGAGAUGUUUACCAACUCUUUACCUAGGUUUUCAUCCAAUCUUUUUGUUAGCUUAGAGAUAGUAAUGAAUGAUUUUGUUCACAUAAGGUUGAACCAAAAGUUGUCAUUUUUGAUAGAUUGUGUUAGAAUAAACAAUGGAUCAAAAUGGGAAACUCACAAUGUGUGUUAGAGAUAAACACAUUGGAGGACUUUGUAAUAGUUUAUCAUCUAAAGAGUUAUGAGUCUUGUUGAUCGAACGUAUAAUGCAAAUGAUCGUCGACUUAACUUGACAAUCUUUCUAAAUAGAAAACCAAAACUUUUACCGCAUUUUCUUACACUUUUAUGCAAGCUACCGUGACUAAAACCAAAACCCCCUUGUUACUACGAGUUAAGAAUUAAAACAACUGUCGAACGGCGGCGAUAUCUCACAAUCCCUUUGCUCACUUGAGCUCAUGUUUAUGUUAAUGCAAUUUGCCUUUUGCUCACUUGAGCACAUAAUUGUGUAUAUACUAUUGUGCUUGUUUUGUUUUGAUUGUGUGAACAAAAUGAAAAUGGACAAAAGGACUUAGACUUUAGGAUAUUCCCUAUGCAAAAUGGAGUCAAAGAGCAACUAGGCCUCAUGCCUUUAGAAUGCUAUAAAAGAAUAAAAAUGUCAAAGAGCAACUAGGCCUCAUGCCUUUACAAUGCUUAAUCUGGAAGAGGACUUUGAAAGGACCAAAUUCUAAACUCACUCUUGUCCAUUCUUUCUAUUGCAUUGUGGAACUUUUUGAUUUGUGUGUUCUUGUGCAAGGGAUCCCAAACAUUGAGCCAAGUAGAAGAACCAUUGUCAUGAGCAUAUAAAGUGAGAGAUACAAAAGCCAUUGGAAGAUUCCUAGGAGCUUGCUUGCUUGAUUGUUUGCUUGAGUUAUUUGCUUAUUGCUUGCUAUUCCAAAGGAAAGGGAACAACUUGGAUCAUCGCUAUGAUCUCAAGAAGGGAACUCCAUUGUGGUUUAUUUUCUCCUCUUUCAUCUUUGCAUGUUUAGGACCUUAGCCAUUAUUCUUCUUCUCUCCACUCUAACCCAAGCCAAACUUUUGUGCAAAUAUUAACAUUGUUUUCAACAUUAGAAUCCUAAGCAUUAUGCUUUUGAUUUUCCAAACUUCUUUUCAUAACACUUAUUUUGAAUUGAAUUCUAGGUCAACAUUGACCUUACAUUGUAAAUACUUUUCAUUGGUAAAUACAAUUCACUUAAAUGUUUUUGUGGUUUCAGUGGCCACUCCUUGCCAAAGCUUUUCAUAAACAUUAGCUAUUAGGUUUGAGUUAUCCUUGAGGUUGAUAUAAUACUCACCUAUAUCCUUAGUGAUGGACCAUAAGACUUCCAUGCUUAUUAUAGGGUUAAGGUUGAUAUAAUACUCACCUAUAUCCUUAGUGAUGGACCAUAAGACUUCCAUGCUUAUUAUAGGGUUAACCCCUCACUAGCAUGUUGAAGCUCUCCUCACAUGGUGGAUUUGUGGUUUUAGGUUGACUUUUCUCCCUUUGAUAACAAAAGACCUUAAGGUUUUUCACCAAUUAAUUCACCAACUUCUUUUGAGAUUUUUACCCCGAACUAUGAGGUUUUGAUCCUAAUCUUUUUAAAGAUGGUACGUAGGCAAUGGGUUUAUCCAUUCAAACACAAAAUUGUAAAUAAUUUGUACAUUCUUCUCUCAUCUCCCCAAUCAUGUUUGCACAAAUAAUUUUCACAAAUACCAACCUACCUUACCACAAUUGUGAAAAGGGCUCCCUAGGAGUACCUAGGAUGUUUUGGGUGCUUAAAACCUUCCCAUUGCAUAACCAACCCCCUUACCCAGAUCUCUGACAUUUUUAUUAGUUUUUGAUUUGGUAAAACUUCUCGAUUUUUGUUCGCUUUCUAACCUUUCCUUUGGAUAAAUAGAAGUGCGGUGGCAACUCGAAUUGUAUGAUUUACUUUUGAUUUAGUUAAUAAAUCUAAAGGUAAUGAAUACCCCGCUACACCUUCAAAUCACCAAAUUAAUGGCCAAGGGAUUUAUCCUAGGUCAAACAAGGUCAAAUGACCUUAGACAAAAAAUUUAGAAUUUUUGGAAAGUCAUAAGUAUUUUAAAAUAUUUAAAAACAUGUCCAAAAUCAUUUAAUUCACAAAAAAUAUCAAAACUAAUCCUAAAAAUGAUUUUAAUUCAAAAUAUAGAAGAGGAAAAUAUUUAAAGAUUUUUGGUGAAAGUCCCAUACUUUUUGGAUUAAAAGUGAAUUUAUAAUGAAUUAAACAAAAUAAAAGGAUUAAACAUAAAAUCAGAAAUAAAAAUAAAACUAAGAAAAAACAAGGACCAUCAGAUCUGCCUCAUUAAUUGAGGUGGCAGAUCAGAUGGCCACGCGUGUGGAGUCCAUGGUGGACUCUGGUCAACACGCUGUAAAGUGAGUCAUUCAAACCAAGGGCCAAGAUUAUAACAUUUAAACGUGAUCAAAGGGAUGAGAUGAUGCCAACACACCACUGGAGUGAGGGCUCUAGUCAUCUUCUCCGGUGGACCUCACCGAACUGGUCCACCAUCAACCUUCACCAAAAUGAAAAGUGUAUAUGCUAUUUUGAAGAGAAAAUUGUCAGGAAUCCAAAUCUUCCCUCAAAACUCUCCAAUUCUUACUAUAUUGAAAGAUACGUAGAAUUGAAAAUUGAGGAGUAUGAACUGAGUUACUUUGAUUUGACCUCAAAGUAACUCAAUCUUGUUGCCUACAUUGGUAGAUCUCUAAACAACCAAAGAACAAGCAAAAUAGUGGAGAAUUGAGGGAGAAUCGAAGAAGAGAAAAAUCAGAAAAUUCACCUUUGGUUUGCUUUAAUUGAGCUUGAUCUUGCUUCCAAUUUGCUUUGGUUCGUCUCUAACAACUUGCAGGAAGUGAAAUGGAUUAUUAAAAGGCUUGGAUUCUUGGAGUUUCAAUUCCAAAACAGAAUGAGAAUUGAAACUCAAUUUCAAGAGAAAUCCUCAAGUUUAUCUUUUAAUGGAGGUUGAGGAAGAAGCACUGCAAAGCUUGGGCAAGAGGAAUCUCAUUAUGAGCUUAAGGAUCAUGUAUAUAUAGCCUACACAUUGCUUUCCACACCUUUUGAAAAUUUUCCAAAAAUAGCAAUACAAUGGUGCAUGCUUGCAUGGGCGUGUGCUAGGCCCAACGAAUGAUUGAAAUGAGUCCAAAAUCGUGCAUAAGUGAUGCUGAAACCUUAACAUGAGGCUAUGCAAUGUGGAAUGAAAAUUGGUCAUGAAAAUCUUCCAAAUGGGGCCAUGCAAUGCACCCAUAUGCAAGUCACUCAAAAAUGCUCCAAAUGCCAUGAUCUUGGACUCUUUGGAAAGGUAACAUGAAGGGUAGAAACUUUGCUGUUGAAACUCUUUCCAUUUGGAGCUUGGAUCAUGAAAAAGUUUAAGGUGGAAGUUGGAGAAAUCAAACAUAGUUGAAAAAUUUCUAAGUUAAAAGUCAAAUGAUCACUUUUUCCACCUUGAAUAACUUUUGCGAUAAGCUUCAAAUGAAAAUGGUUACUUAUUAAAAGUUUUAGAUAUUUCAUUCCUUUUUAAUUUGAGCACAAAUUUGACACCAUUUGAAUCUUGCAUGAGGGAGUUAUGGAUUUUAGAAGUUGAGGAAAAAUGCUUGUUCAAUGAUGAUGGCCCAAAAUGACCUAUAAUGUUUCAUUUUGGUACAUGCCCUUGCAAAUAGAUUUUGAAAUUUACCGAAGAAUAAAAGUUGGAGAAUACAUCUUGAAAUUAAUCAUGAAACUUGGAUGGUAUUCAUAUCAGAAAAAUUUAGCAAGUUAUGGUUCUCGGAAGUUGACCUUCUAUCUAGGGCACAAACAAAAUGACCUAUAAUAUUUCACCAUAAAAAUGACUUUCCAAGCAAACUUAGCUCUUGAUGCCAACAUGAAAUUUGUUUGGAAUGUCAUAAAGAGUAACGUUUCUCUUGGAAUAAUUUUCAUAUGACAAAACUUGAAGGAUACAGGGUCUAGGGAAGCCUAGAUUUGACCAGUUGACUUUCUCUAGUCAACCUCUUUGAACCAUCUUGCAAACUUGAAGUUCUUUUUAUCUUUGGGUCUCAUGGAGAAUCAUAUAUGCUUGAGAUGAUGUACAAUGAAGUAUACUUUGAAAUCUUUGACCAAUUGAUGAAGAAACUGGCUGAGGAAGUCAUACAAGAUACCUAGAUGAAUUAGGGCUUCCAAGGAAAACAAACUUCAAACCUUUGAUGAAUUCUUGAUCAAAUUGACAAAUAAAGUACAUGGGGAUCCAUAUAUGAUGCUUAGAACCAUGGUGAACCUUUCCUUGAUUGAUCUCUUUCAUUGAGGGAGUCAAGCCCUAGAUAUGAGCUUGAUAGGGCACAAAUGGAUGCACACACUACCUACAAAAGAAAUGAAACUAUACUAGACAUAUUUUUGGUAUUUUGGUUAGUAAACAAAAGAAAAUAAAGUAUGAUACAUUAAAAUGUGUUUGGUGAUAUCUCCCAAUGCAAACCCAAUGAAUGAGGGGUAAGGAGGAUACCAAGGUGUGAUCCCAAAGCCAAUGCAAAUGAUGAGAUAGUAUGAGGGAUCUUAAGGUUAAAAUUUGGGUCUUACAGUUACCACUGUCAUCAACAGGACGAAUGUAGCCAUAAACUACCAUAUAUCAUAUAUCCACAUCAUGACCAAGAAAAAUACUUUCUAUUUUAUCAUUCCAAUAGUCAAAAUUUUAUCCAUUAAAGACUGAAGUUUUGGCACGAUAAUGGUCUCUUUCAUUGUUACUAGCGGGUGCAGUUGGUGGAGGAAUUUCUGCCAGAAUGUUUCAAAAGUCUGGAUCUUUAUCUAACACAAUGAAGUGUUGGAUACACAAUCAAUACCAGAACCAGAGCUCUGAUUCUAAUUUAACGUAAUGGAAACACAAGAAAGGGGGUUUGAAUUGGGUUUCAAGAAAUAUAACUUUUGCAACCCAAAGAUGCAAAUAGAAAACUAAGAACAAAAAUAAUGAACUCGAUUAUUUUUAUCAUGGUUUGCUAUUAACAAGGUGAUUUCGCCUUAUCACAAGGACUUAAUCCACUAUAAUCAAACUUGAUUACAACAAAAAGACCAACUGUCAAUGUCUUUCUGAGUAAUUCUGACUAAAUCCUAGUCACUCAAGAAAAUACAAUCACAAAGAUUGAGAUGCAAAAUGUGUUUACAAAAUGCUUCUGAGAAAGAAAAAUACACAAAUGAAUUACAAGUAUAGCACAUAAAAUAUAUAUUCUAUGAUGAGUAUGAACAAAAAUUCAUUGUGUGUAUGUUUCUUUUCUUUUCUCUCAAAAUAUUUCAUAAAACUCAUUAUUCAUGUAUAUGUUAAUCUCUUAGAGUGUAGCACAAUUCAAUUCUUCCAAGUCUUCUUUAUAUAGGCAAGGAAGAGAUCCAUUGGAGGGUAAAAUUGGAAUACUUAAAUGCAAUUGUAUCUUUGCAUAACGGUCUGUGAAAAUGAGAGACAAAAUGAUACAAUAGUCAGUCCUUAGUCCACAAAAUCAUUGUAGUGGAUGAAUAUUUGAUCUUGUACUGUGUACUAUUUUCUCACGUAAAACCUUUUUGAUCUUAUCUUCAAUUUUCAGAGGCUUCUGAUAAAGAGGUAAUGAAGCAUGUAUAGAAGGAAGAAUAAGAGUCUGGUUGAGAGAAUCUUCAGAAACUUUGUCUUCAGAGUCUUGAUCCAGUUCAUCAGAACAUGGUCUUUAGAGUCUGGUGACACAAUUCAUCCGAAUUUUUUAAGCGCACGACUCCAGAGCUUGACAACGUCAAAAUCGGACUUAUGAAAUGAAAGUUAUGACCAAAAUCGUCGGGAUGUGUCAACAAUUCAUUAACCGAACGUAAGAACAAAAACUUCACCAACACAGUAGGCAUAGGAAUAAUAUUCAAUCAAUUCACUUAUCACCAUCACAUUAUAUCUCUUAGAGUCACCUUUCUAAUGCUUUAAACCCCAACCCAAAAUGAUUCACGAGUUGAAAGUUAUAAUCAAAACCGUGCACGAAGGCGUUACUAAAAAGUUGUUAUUUUCUAAAUUUUCCGACAUAAUUUUCAUCUUUUUCAACCCCAAAAACGUCCAUGAAAUAAUCUCCAAAAUUAUUUUAUUCCUGAAACAAAGUUAUAGCCCUCUGUUUCAGAUAUCCAACGCUUCAAACGACACUCGAUUUAGACUUACGGAUCAAAAGUUAUGGCCAAAACGAUUUCGAUCAAAAAACACAAUAAAAUGCUCGUGAUUGUGAGAGACAGAAUGCAUAAUUUUCUGCGUUUUUCAUCGUUGGAGGCCUUCCGGGUCUCCGAUUUCGAUUCCGUAAAAAGCUAAACAUUCAGUAAAUUACAACCCAUGCAAUACUAUAAUUAUCUAAUAAUUUACAGUUUUAACACAAUUAAAUCAUCUAAUCACUGUUUCAAGAUUAUGCCUGAAACCUUCAAAAUUGCAACAAUGGUGAAUAUAAGUUCAAUCAUCAAAAUAGAAAAUUACACACAUAUAAGACACAUGACAUUUAUCAUAUAAUCAUCAUGGCAUCCAAAUUCAAAAUUAUGAAUCAAAACACUCAACCUUAAGGAGGUUAAGGGUUCCUCCAUUCUAUCAUUCUAUCAUACCCUUUACUAUUGGAACAAGUUCUCACCCUUACCUUAGAUUUUCCAACAAGAUGCACACUUCAAGCUCUAACAAUGGAGUUUUCUUUUAGCCAUAUCUCUUCCCUCUUCUCACCACAAAAUUCUAUUUUACGUAAAACCCUCCAAACUCUCUUACUAACCUUUUUAUCAUUAACCUAAUCCCCCUCAAUUAGGAACUUCCACCAUUGCCCUCACUUAUCAUAUUAUUUACCACCAUAUCCCUUUUGACUCUAAUUUUCUUUUAAUAAAAUAAUACUAAUAAUAUUCUUCUUUUUCUCGAUCGUAUUUCUACUCUUUUAUUUUAUUCCAAUCAAUUAAAUAAAAUAGUUAUAGGUUAAUUAUUAAAAAUUCUCAUUAUCCCCAUUAAAUAAGUAAAAUAAUUAAAUUUCAUUAUUUAAUUAAGAUGCUCAUAUUCUAGUUAUUUAAUUAAAUAAAAUAGUUAUAGGUUAAUUAUUAAAAAUUCUCAUUAUCCCCAUUAAAUAAGUAAAAUAAUUAAAUUUCAUUAUUUAAUUAAGAUGCUCAUAUUCUAGUUAUUUUUAUUUAUUUAUUUAAUUAAUUCAAAUAAUACACUAUUUAUUUCAAUCACUAAUUAAAAUUCUAAUUAAUUAUCAACAACUAUACCAAAUUCUUAUUGCCUCCAUACUUCUAUUUCAAGGAUACCUACCCCCACAAUCAUACACAAUUAAUUUAAAACACACAUUAAUCAUAUAAAAAUCUAAAUAAUUCAAAUUAAUUAAUUAAUUAAAUUCGGGGUGUUACAGGUGACACAAUUCAUCAGAAUUUUUUAAGCGCACGACUUCAGAGCUGAACAAUGUCAAAAUCUUCUGAGUCAUAAAGCUUUGGAUAAACUAUGUUCAGAAGCGUUGAGUACAGAAUCCAAAGCUUGUUUAUCUUGUAGAACACACAUCUUAGAGUCAAAGUGCACUAGGUUCAGAAUCUGAUGUUGUCACACAUCAUUCUAUCAAAGUCAAAACUCAUCUAGUAUUUGCACACUAAACAAAACCAUUAAGAUACAAAAUUGUUCUCUAAAAAUCUAUGUAUUGUUAUUACCAAAACAUAAAGUUAGAUGCAGAACCAAAUCUUAUUCUUAUAAAAUUACCAUAAUUUUAUUUUAUUGAAAUUUAUAAUAUAUCCUUCUCUUGACAAUGUGUGGUCCAAAUUUUUUUUUCCAAUAAUUGAAAAAUACUAUUAGUUUUUUAGAUUAUUUUUUUUUUCUUUUUUCUAGACUAAAGAGGAUAUUCAUUACUAAACUAAUAUAUAAGUGUUCACAGGGACCAAGUUACUCAUUCAUCUUCUUUCUCAUAGUCCAUCAUUUGUGAUAUUAGUUCUAACAAUGUUAUCACUAGUACUUCUCCUUGCUAUAGGUGCUUAAUUCUCUCUCCUAAUCUCUCCGCUAAAACACAAAACCACUAAACAUUUUCCACCUGGUCCUAAAGGCCUUCCCAUAAUAGGAAAUCUUCACCAACUAGACCUCCUUAAUAUUAGUGUUCAACUUGCAGACUUUUCAAAAAUAUAUGGUCCUAUAUUUUCACUUAAACUUGGUUCAAGACAAGCUAUUGUAGUUUCUUCAUCUGAAAUUGCCAAAGAAAUUUUUAAAAAAAAUGACCAUACGUUUUCUGACAGACCUCAAUUAUAUAGCCAACAAAAAUUAUCUUAUAACGGAUCAGAAGUUUUAUUUUCACAAUACAAUGAAUCUUGGAGAGAUAUAAGAAAAAUUUGUGUUAUUCAUAUUUUUAGUUCCAUACGUGUAGCAUAUUAUUCUUCCAUAAGAAACUUUGAGGUGAGGAAACUGAUUAAAAAAAUAUCAGAAAAUGCUAAUUCUUCAAGUGUUACAAAUAUGAGUGAGGUAUUGAUAUCUCUUGCAAGUUCUCUAAUAUGUAACAUUGCUUUUGGAAAAACCUUUGAAAAUGAAGGACCUGAGAGUAGUAGUAGGUUUCCUGAAAUGUUGCAUGAGUUUCAAGCUUUGCUAGCAGAAACUUUUGUUGCUGAUUAUAUUCCAUUUACGGGUUGGAUUGAUAAAGCGAGAGGAUUGCAUGGUCGUCUUGAUAAAAUUUACAAGGAGUUUGAUAAGUUUUAUCAAGAGAUUAUUGAUGAACAUUUGGAUCCAAA
rnacentral:lncRNA from 1 species